rnacentral:tRNA from 1 species
AAGCGUAUAGUUCAAUGGUAGAAUGUGUGCUUAGCAUGCACGAGAUUCUGGGUUUAGUCCCCAUUACCUUCA